AUUGAACGCUGGCGGCAGGCUUAACACAUGCAAGUCGAGCGGAGCGAGGGUGCUUGCACCUUAGCUUAGCGGCGGACGGGUGAGUAAUGCUUAGGAAUCUGCCUAUUAGUGGGGGACAACAUUCCGAAAGGAAUGCUAAUACCGCAUACGCCCUACGGGGGAAAGCAGGGGAUCUUCGGACCUUGCGCUAAUAGAUGAGCCUAAGUCGGAUUAGCUAGUUGGUGGGGUAAAGGCCUACCAAGGCGACGAUCUGUAGCGGGUCUGAGAGGAUGAUCCGCCACACUGGGACUGAGACACGGCCCAGACUCCUACGGGAGGCAGCAGUGGGGAAUAUUGGACAAUGGGCGGAAGCCUGAUCCAGCCAUGCCGCAUGUGUGAUGAAGGCCUUUUGGUUGUAAAGCACUUUAAGCGAGGAGGAGGCUACUUAGAUUAAUACUCUGGGAUAGUGGACGUUACUCGCAGAAUAAGCACCGGCUAACUCUGUGCCAGCCGCCGCUGUAAAAC
rnacentral:rRNA from 1 species